UACGGAGGGUGCAAACGUUGCUCGGAAUUAUUGGGCGUAAAGCGCACGUAGGCGGCUCGUUAAGUCGGAUGUGAAAUCCCUCGGCUCAACCGAGGAAGUGCAUCCGAAACUGGCGAGCUUGAGUACGGAAGAGGGUCUCGGAAUUCCCGGUGUAGAGGUGAAAUUCGUAGAUAUCGGGAGGAACACCAGUGGCGAAGGCGGAGACCUGGGCCGAUACUGACGCUGAGGUGCGAAAGCGUGGGGAGCAAACAGGG
rnacentral:rRNA from 1 species